GUAGGGAAUAUUGGGCAAUGGUCGGAAGACUGACCCAGCCAUGCCGCGUGCAGGAAGACGGCCCUCUGGGUUGUAAACUGCUUUUAUCUGGGAAGAAAAAGGCCAUGCGUGGCAAAUUGCCGGUACCAGAUGAAUAAGCACCGGCUAACUCCGUGCCAGCAGCCGCGGUAAUACGGAGGGUGCGAGCGUUGUCCGGAUUUAUUGGGUUUAAAGGGUGCGUAGGCAGCUGAUUAAGUCAGCGGUGAAAGACUUCGGCUUAACCGGAGCAGUGCCGUUGAUACUGGUUGGCUUGAGUGUCGGAGGGGUACAUGGAAUUGAUGGUGUAGCGGUGAAAUGCAUAGAUACCAUCAGGAACACCGAUAGCGAAGGCAUUGUACUGGCCGACAACUGACGCUGAUGCACGAAAGUGUGGGGAUCGAACAGGAUUAGAAACCCCAGUAGUCC
rnacentral:rRNA from 1 species